UCAAUGUCCACUUUGGGUCCUGAGACAUCAGGGCCUUCAAUGUCCACUUUGGGUCCUGAGACAUCAAUGUCAGCCUUGGGCAGCUUCACAUCCCCAUCUGGGCCCUCUCCUUUGAAGCCAGGCAUGCUGAACUUUGGCAUUUUCACCUUGGGCAUCUUCAGGUGCCAGUCUGGGCCUUGAACCUCCACAUCUGGGACAUCAAUGUCCAUUUUGGCACUUUUAAGUUCAACAUCAGGAACUUUAAUCUCACUUUCAACCU
rnacentral:lncRNA from 1 species